rnacentral:tRNA from 4 species
GGCCGGGUGGCAGAGUGGUGAUGCAGAGGACUGCAAAUCCUUGUACGCUGGUUCGAUUCCGGUCCCGGCCUCCA